UCAGAUGCCUGAGUCCAGCGUUGAUCGAGAUAGAGUAUGUUACUUAAAAAUAAUUCUUCGAUUGUCGUUUUAUUUUAUUUGUUAGGUUAUUCAUUUGUAAUAGUUAUUUUUUCAGGAGGGCCGUCCAGUAUCACCUCCUGCACCUAGUCCCCGUGCUUCGACGAUUGAUUUGUUCGAACUCCUGAUGGAGAUGAGAGGAGACAUGGCAGAGUUAUGGGAUAAUGUCGUGACACUACGAGCUGAGUUCGGGGACAUGGCACAGUUACGAUAUGAUGUCGCGAUAUUACGAGCUGGGUUAGGAGACUUUCAUGCUGAGGUUGUA
rnacentral:lncRNA from 1 species